AUGAGUGGCGAAGGCGGCUGUCUGGUCUGUAACUGACGCUGAGGCUCGAAAGUAUGGGUAGCAAACAGGAUUAGAUACCCUGGUAGUCCAUACCGUAAACGAUGAAUGCUAAGUGUUGGAGGGUUUCCCCCCUUCAGUGCUGCAGCUAACGCAUUAAGCAUUCCGCCUGGGGAGUACGGCCGCAAGGCUGAAACUCAAAGGAAUUGACGGGGGCCCGCACAAGCGGUGGAGCAUGUGGUUUAAUUCGAAGCUACGCGAAGAACCUUACCAGGUCUUGACAUACUAUGCAAAUCUAAGAGAUUAGACGUUCCCUUCGGGGACAUGGAUACAGGUGGUGCAUGGUUGUCGUCAGCUCGUGUCGUGAGAUGUUGGGUUAAGUCCCGCAACGAGCGCAACC
rnacentral:rRNA from 2 species